AGCUUCAGAUUCAAACCUAUAAAGGGUUUGUUGUGAAAAAUCAAAAAUUGGUGUGUGGGGGCCGAGAAUUGGCCAGAAGCAAUUCCCUCAUUAGGGAUUAUGGAGUUGUUGAUGGAAAUGUUCUCCAUUUGGUCCUUAGGUUGUCAGAUCUUCAGGUUAUCAAUGUGAAAACUUCUUCUGGUGAAGGGUUUACCUUUAAUGUGGAUAGGAGCAGGGAUGUUGGAUAUGUGAAGCGUCAAAUUGCUAAGAAGAAGAAG
rnacentral:lncRNA from 1 species